AAUCAAGAUCUAGUAAUGGUUUAGCCUUUUGAUCUGAACAAAACAUAUCCAUAAAGAUAUUCAAUUGACAAGCUGGAUGGAUGCGGGGAUAUUGAACAAGUCAAAUCUUUUGGGAAAGAAGUUUUCAUUCGUUUAUAACAUGUGUUAGUGGUUCAUGCUGUAACAGAUCCAUAAAGAAGUUUUCAUGCUGUAACAAGUUUUCGUUCAUGCUGUAACAGAACAGCAUGAUGUAACCA